rnacentral:lncRNA from 1 species
UUCACCCUAUCAUGGGGGAGUACAAAGUGCAUGCUUAUACUCAGGAGGAAUCCAUAAACAUAUGAUGAGGUUGAUGUAGGCAACGAGGAUGGCCAAUAUCAUAUCAUUGUGAGGCUAUUUUUGAACCCCUUCAUGAACUAAGCAUGGUGGGAAUGACUUAACUAAGUGCAAUGGAGCCAAUAUCAUAUCAUUGUGAGGUGACAUUCUCUAGAGGCCAAAUAAGGUGGGUACUUGCAUUAGUUGCAAAUGAGUAAGCGUACUCUCUCAUUAUUAUUAAUGCUAGCCAAUAUCAUAUCAUUGUGAGGUGGGCUUGGUAGUAGUGAGCCUCCCAUACCCUACUAGGAGUUUCAUCCAAAACUCUCGAAUUCCAAUGAGGGAUAUGGAAUUUGCCAAAAUAGUGGGUGGUGCUAUUUGAUUUAAAGACCCGAAUCAAAUGGCUUAAAAUCAAUCAACUUAUAUUCGUUAUGUAUUUGUUUACCAAUAUAUUUGCAAACGCUAUCCAACACUUGACAAAGAAAAGCCGAAUGCUUUAGUUUCCGGACUUGGUAACACAAUCCCAAAGAUUGUCUUAAAUGGAUUGUAUAUGUACCUAAGUAGUCUCAUACUCACAAUCUUCCUAAUGAUAAUGUAUCAUUGGAAGAACAUGUUAGAAAA